GGAAGCAUCGAAGAUGAUCCAGAAUAUAAGAAGUUUUUAGAAACCUACUGUGUGGAGGAAGAGAAGACCAGUGCCAACCCUGAGACUCUGCUGGGGGAGAUGGAGGCGAAGACAAGAGAGCUCAUUGGCUUGACAGAAAUGUAGAGUGAUUUCCAGUUUUGACAAAAGAAUGGCAAGAUGGCAGCAUGGGAAAAUAUUUCUGAGCGUUGGUUGAUGGAGAGCACGUGAUUUUUUUAGUUAAGAUCAUUUUAAGUUAUGAUGCUUCCGAAUGAGCAGUGCAGAAGACACAUGAAUGGUCUGUUCCUGAGCGUCAGGGAAGGCAUGUUGUGUCACAUAGUUGAAGUCAGUGGUCACAGACGGAUGCCUCAAGAGCCCAUAGGAAUGAGAUGUUUUGCUUGCGGUGAGGUCAUCUUGCUGCUUCAACACAAAUGCCAGGCUCCCCGAGCCAGGCCAACUUGUGGAUAAGCCCAGCCAGAGCACAGAAUCGAGUUUAAAUCCAGCCUUCCACCCCAUGCCCACAAGUGGUGUACUUUAGAAAUAGUUACUUCCCAGUAGCACCAACAUACUUCCCAGUAGCACCAACAUGAAAAUCAGGCAAACUGUUGUUGUUUAGUCCCAGACACACCUGGUAGUGUUUCUCUUCUCUGUGGAUCUCCUUUCCUCAAAGCCCUGGUUCUUCACCUCUCAUCUCUCCCGCCCAGGCUGUGCCCUGCCCACCCAUCAAGAUGGAUGUACUUUGGGAGGCCAGGGUGGGCGGAUCACAAGGUCAGGACUUCGAGAUCAGCCUGGCCGACAUGGUGAAACCCCAUCUCUACUAAAGAUACAAAAAAUUAGCAGGGCAUGGUGGUGCGUGCCUAUAGUUCCAGCUACUGAGGAGGCUGAGGCAGGAGAAUCGCUUGAACCCAGAAGGCGGAGGUUGCAGUGAGCUGAGAUCGCACCACUGCACUCCAGCCUGGUGACAGAGCGAGACUCCAUCUCAAAAAACCAAUAAAAUUGAUGUGACAUG
rnacentral:lncRNA from 10 species